rnacentral:lncRNA from 1 species
AUGUCUGUAAGGUGCUUAACCCUUCUGCUAAGCCUGUAUCUGUCCUUUCAAAAAGCAUGGACAGACACUUCUCUCGAAGUGACCUCUGGUCUGCAGUACAGCUUUAAAGAUCCAGACUCAGUUACUGUUAUAUGCGAGUAUAAUUGGGAGAAAGGCUGGGAAGUUGCUGUAAAGCUCAAAGCUAACAACAAUGUAGUUUGUGAGACAUCUCAAAAAAGAAGAGACUGGUCUCAAGAAGGCAACCAGACCAAGUUCCACCUGAAAAAUGUUACUUCUGACCAGAAAAAACUCUCCUACACAUGUGAGGUUUUUCGACAUCACCCUCUUCCAAUACUCAAGGGAGAAGGGCAUGCAUUCAGGUUCUUUCCAGAAUCGCACAUUCUUCCCAAUAUUCCGUGUAACAGCACGGAGACUACCAUUGUCAUCCCCCCUCCUGAGAUUCCCUGCCGUCCCAACACUCUCAUCUGGGCCUGGGCUCUGAUCGGUCUGAUGCUCCUUUUGUGUCUCUACAGCCUGAUUAUCACCAUUCUCUACAUUACGCUGAAGAUUAAAUGGUCUCAAGAGUUGAACGACACAUUAACUUAUGUUCCAAUGCAGAAGCAAGUGAGACAGAAGAAUGCAGACAAGAACGCAGAAUACAUGGAUAUGCGUAAAGUGCCCCCAAUGGCAGCAACUGUCAGAGAUAUGAACCACAACUCUCAUCGGCUUCCUGCUGCCUUCAUGUGAUCCAUCUUCAUAUACUAUCAUGUGUAUGUUUACAUCAUGCAGCCUGUGAUGUAUUCACCUCAUCAAGGAGAUUCAGAAGAGCCAGUCACAUCCACACAAGCCUCACUGCUGUAAAGACACAAAAUGAAGAAGUAUAUAUAACACACUUCAGACAUAACUGUCAAUAAAGGCAGGAAUAUAAAUAACA